rnacentral:misc_RNA from 1 species
CUUGAUUCAUUCCAAUCGUUUGUUUAUCGAACUUGUUUCAUUUUGAAGAAUACACAAUUUACCAGAAUAUUUUCGCGUUAUCGUGAAGAAUCUUUUCCUGGUUAAAUAUUAGAAAGUGUACAAUAUAUUUCCUCGUCAGCGGUUUUUCUCUUACUCCAAUCGAAGAAUCUCGCUACGUGGAACAUGAGCGCAAAUUUGUGGCCAUCCUGUAGAUUCCUGUUCUUUUUUUACUUGUGUCUUUUUACACUUUCCUUUAUUCCGCUCAUUACUUGCAUUACUGCUUCAAUUACUACUUCUAAAUGCAAAACAAGAAACGUCGGACCGAGAUGAUUAAGCGAACCUUGGCAAAGUUUAAUUAACAAAUUUGCUCGUUUGAAACGUACUUUUUUCCGCAUUUACAACAAAUGAGUGCACCAAUGUUCAAACGAGCUUGGAGAGAAAGAAGAAAGGAAAAAAGAAACGGCGACUGAAGAUGAAGAGCCAGCUGUAAGAUUUUUUUUUCAACGUCCAUCAUUUAUGCAAUCGCCUUUUGUAGACCCCAGGAAUGGCGUGCAUAAUAAACUAAUACGGCACUGCGACCAGUACAAAAUGGUCGACGUGCCUUGGUCGUGUCGUUGACGGUGGGCCUGCGUUACCAGCACCAGCCCGUGCUAUUGAACCGAGUCCCGUAUCGGAGACGAGACGGAGUAAAUAACGCCCGUGAAACGUGCGCGGACGCAGCUAAAUGGCGCGAUAGAACCGCACCGCCUCUCUCCGGGGUGAGACUUCUCCGACUGUUUGCAGUCUACGUGCGGUCGUCGAGGAAGAUCGAGAACGAGCGAGGGACGUGAGGAGCGAUGGAGAAGCGGCAGGAGGUGCUCGCCCCGUUUUCCUCCGACGAGUGUCCGAACAGCGGCGAGGAUAGCGAGGAGGAUGUAAUAACCGAUUACCUUGGCUCAUCGCACUCCGACUGCGAUCGCGUACCACCAAUCAUUAAUGGAGAUCUGCGCGGCCUGAGUUUGCACGGCAGCAUAGUCACGGGGAUUGGCUACAUCACCAAAGACAAUACCGAUAAAGCGUCGAUCGUCAUGUCCGAGAGCGGCGAGGAACAGCAGUACCAGCGGCAGCAACAACAGCAGCAACAACAUCCGUUGCUCGCACUCGGCACUAAUAUACAAACCCAGCCUAAUCCUCUGGUACCCAUCAUUAGCGUCACACCGCAUUCACCUGGUCUGGCGAAGAACUAUCCGGUUCUAGAAGAGAACUUGCAACAGCUGCACGAGAUCCACGAUUGCAUUCAGCGUAUGCGAGACCUUACGUUGGGCACCUUGGGGUACCACAUUCGCGUGUCCAACAACUCCGACGCUCCGCAAAGAUUGACUUCCUCCUGCCCGUCCCUGUGUCCGCUGAUCACCGCCGAGCUCGCGUCUCGUUCCGGUAACAAUCAUCACCAUGACACUGGAUCCGAUCCAGAUCUCUUUCUCGCCAAUUGCUCCACCAACAGUUCCCCGACGCAUUUCCCGACGGCGGGCAGUCGCGCCCGCACGCAACAGUCGCAGAGUAUAGACAGGCGACGCAGCUGGACCGGAGAUCUGGAAGAUCUGGAGGAGAGCCGGCGUGGUAACCGUCGAUAUUCUCAGAAUCAUCUGCAGGCCCAAAAUAUGGUUAAUAUCGUCCGUUUUUUGUUGAAACCAGGGCACGAUCCGAUCUCGCGACAACGCAGCAUUAGUUUAAGUAGCCUAGACAGCGAAAACGAGCUAGAAUUAGAUGGAAAACCGUGUGCUGGACCGGUAAGCGUAGGCAAUCGGGCAUGCAGGUCACAAACGAGCACUCACUCGCUGAACGAAGCUGAUCUUGUACAGAGUGAAUAUCAGAAGAUAGUCACAAAGAGGGGUAGUCAGAGAUUAGCAGAAAGUAGCAGUUUAAUGCCAGGACUGACUGGUUCGCGUUUACCUCUUCAGAAAUCCAUAUCGACGCCCUCGAUCGUUACACCGCAAGUUCACGCACAUUUAGCCGAAACCGGAACUCGGACGACGCCUUCACUCGCAGCCCGUGAAAGAAACGAAAAGGGUAGCGGGAGUGAGACAGAAACUGAGGAUCUUCAUACAUCACACAGCCACGAAUUCCACGAAGAACGGGAGGGCACUCCGAGUGUCCAGAUAUGCCUUGACGAGCUUUUGACCGAUGGUACUGCAUACGAUGAUCAUCAUUCCGAAAAGACUAGAAGGAAGCGCGGUUCCAUCUUCUUUCGCAAAAAGAAGGAUAAAAGCGGCAAAAAGAGUCAUCUGUGGGUAACGUUGACGAUAGGCUCUCAAGGAAGCCUACUGUGUGACGUUUGUAUGAAACAUUCGACGAAUAAGCCGCUCCUUCAUUGCGAUAUUUGCGGAGCAUCCGUUCAUCAAAGCCAAAGCUGCAAGGAUCAAUUGAUGCUGGAAUGCAUCAAGUCUAAACAUCACUCCAGCAAAUCCACAUCAAAAUCUUUAUCGAGCGUUUCCACAAUUUCAAGUAAUAACAGCAUUAACAAACGUGGUUCCACAACAUCGUUGCCUCUGCCAGCGUCAUCCGGAAGCGGAAGGGAAAUUAACAGCCACAAGAAAACCAUGUCAAGCUACAGCCCUUGGCGGCGAGUCGCUACUAAGCUUGGAGUCAAUCAAACGAUAAACGAAGAGAAAGAUGGCGAGGGCGGGCAACAUCGUGAUCUUCCCAGUGGAUGGGAAGAAUUUGAUUUCGGUGAUGACGUUCAUCAAUUCACCGUAGACGAUCUCGACGAUAUAGAUCCCGACUUAACGUUGGGAAAGGAAGAACACGAUUCCUGGAGCUCCGCGAUCGGCCGUAACAUUGCUCUGCGCCUCGUCGAUCAUUGCGAGCGCGAGGUGAAAAGACAGGAACAUAUAUAUGAGUUCGUGCUCACGGAGAAACACCAUUGCUUGGUGCUGCUCGCGAUGGAAAAGAUUUUUGCGGAAGGACUGCGACGGCACUUUCGUCUCGGUCAGCCGGAUCUUGAGCGUAUGUUUCCCCGAUUGCGGGAUCUGAUCGACAUCCAUCUACGAUUUCUACAAAAACUGCGGAAACGCCAGAACGCCAAUCCCGUGGUCUCUACGAUCGUCGAUAUUCUAAUCGAGCAGUUCUCAGGCGAUAACGCGCAACGCAUGAAAAGCGCAUACGGAGAAUUUUGUAGUCGUCAUCGGGAUGCCGUCGAGACAUACAAAUAUUAUUUGCGUAACGAUCCUCGCUUCGCCCGCUUCGUACGAUAUUGUCAGACGAAUCCCUUAUUGAAAAAGAAAGGUAUACCUGAAUGUAUACUUUUUGUUACUCAACGUUUGACAAAGUAUCCAUUACUGAUCGAGCCACUCAUCAAAACCAGCACUGUGCAAGACGAAGGUGAAGAUUUACGUAAAGCACUGAUCCUCGUUAAAGAGAUCUUAGCUGAUGUAGACGCCUGCGUAGCCGAUAAGGAGCGAGAAGAUAGAAAAUUAGAGAUAUACAAUAAGAUUGAUGCGAAGUCAUUCGUGACAUAUCGUGGUGCCAAAUUUAAAAAGUCGGAUAUAAUCAACAGAAUCUUGAAGUUUGAGGGCACUGCAUACUUGAUGCAAGGUCGUGGAAAAAUGAUUGCCAUCGUAGUGGUCGUUCUCUCAGACAUAUUGUUUUUCUUGGCUGAGAGGGAUCAGAAAUACGCGUUCUUCGUGCCUGACAAUAAAGCCGGUAUAGUGUCGUUACAGAAACUGUUAGUUCGCGAAAAAGCUCGUCAAGAAUCUAGUAUUUAUCUGAUAAGCAGCAAUCCGGCUGAACCUGAGAUGUUUGAACUAAAGAUUCAGAAACCAAAGGAUAAGCAAUUAUGGAUACAAGCUAUUCGAUCGGCAGUCGAAGCUUGCCCACAAGAAUCUGAGAAUGAGACUGAAGCGCUGAUGGAAAAUAGUAAUGAAUUACGGGACAUUCGUUCCUCUUCGAUCUCGUUGGCUUCUGUUGAAGAAAAGCAACGUAUCGCCAAAGCUAAGGAAUCACAUAUACUUAGAAUUGUCGACGAAUUGCGAAAAAAAGAUACCGAGCAGGCGCUGCUGUUUGAAGACAAGAUCAAUUUGCAAAUGCGACUUUUACAAGCCGCAAACAUUUGGAGCGGGAACGAGAGUGACAAUGAAAGAAUCGAGAAACUUGAGAAAGAAGGCGCCGAUUAUACUCGAUUGGUGCAUAAUGAGAGGACUGAUACCACUCAAUUAUGGCAAGAGGUAUUUGUAGCCGUACAAGAAGCGACACGUCUCGCUAGCUCAUUAUCGUUCAGCGCGGGUGGUGCUAAUUUAUCGAGAAGUUUAAGUUCUGCCGGUGAACGUCACAGUGAAGCUUACGUUCCACCGGCUCUUUGUGUGCCUCGAAGAGCCGAAACUUUCGCCGGUUUUGAUCACAAUAAGGAGAGGUAUCCGCUGCGUGAUCCAAACGCAUUGCACGCCGUAAUUCCCGUUCCGAAACUUGGCGAGUUACCGAAAGAAAAUCCCGAUGAGAAGGAAGAAUUGGAGACGAACAAGGAUCAGCAGUGGGCGGCAAUACGUUUGUCUCAUCAUGUUUAUACGUUGCUUUGUAUAAUAAGCAGUCAGAUGACGACAAUUGACAGCCUACAGGCGCAAUUGGCCGCGUGUAAGGAUGGCGGCACGGGUAAAUCGUCCAAUAAUCGUCCAAAUCCGAAUCGUCAGUUAGAAGAGCUGCGAAAUCUGCAGGAUCAGCUCUGUCGAGAGAAAGCGGCGUUUCGCGCUGCCUCUCAGCAGGAAAAAAUCCAAUUGGAGGAAGAACGGGCCGAGCUGGCCCGACAAAGAGAACAACUGGCUGCAGAACAGCGAGAUGUGACACAGCAACGAGAUCAAUUGUAUCGACGGCUCGAAGCGUUGGACCGACAGGGCAUCACGUUGGUCGGAAGUUCCACAACCGGCUCGAUUCAUCUAUCGCAUUUGACGCAAAACACUGACACGAUGCAAAGCACACGCGGCAAAGCGCAACCCGAAGCCAAACGCAUCCCCCUAAAUCUGAUUAGCGCGACAAAUCAGCAAAAAGUUCAAAGCAACUUGCCGGUCAAACAACAAUUACCGCUAAAGCUUGCUAGUGGGAGUAACAACAAUACAAGAAGUAGUAGUACCACGAGUAAUAACAGUCCAGAUCGACACUCUAGAACGGGCAGUAGUCCGGCGAUCGUCACCAGCUCUGCGUAUUCUUCGCCGGAGCUCGGAAAUAGCCAUCAUCACGGAAUCAGCAGCGGGAGUCACACGUACUCGUCGAAUCGAUCACUUCGAAUCACUCGCUCUCCGCCCGAAGUUUCGUAUGCGCAGCAACAACAACAGCAGCAACGAAGCGCAGAGCAACAAUCGCAGCAGCAACAACAGCAACCGCUGGAGGAAGAGGUGAUUUUUUUCUGACGAUUCUUCCGAUUCGGUCGCAAGCACUCAUCACGUUCGUCGCGCGCCGCUGCUGCUACUGGUGGUACAACCACGCCAACCUCCACGCCAACACCGUCGCCGCGCAGCCAGUCGCGGAACAGUCAGCCCCGAAGUCGCGUUAAGUCCUUUUGACUUUCGACAUAAACUUCUUACGAAAUAAUUCCGUUCGUCAAGAGCACACGAUAUACACUUGGUAUUUUCUCCACUGAAAUACCGAAAUAGGAAUAUAUAUAUAAAAAAAUAGCGGGAGGAAUUCAUAUAUCUGGUAUUUCGUUUCGAGAUUAUUCACUGCCAUUAUAUUGUUAUUCUUUAUCGAGUGUUCUUUUUCUUAUAUUAUUUCUACAAAUUGUACACUAUUUAUUGUGUUGCUUAAGAUUAAUAAUUAAAGUUUCUAUACGAAACUACGUAAAAUGUGGAAACUGGGAAAGUUUGUUGUACAAGAAUCGCGUAACGAAUAUCCCAUCGUUCCGAAUUCGCAUCUUUUCGCGGAUCUUGUAAUCCCCCCUUGUCUGACAUAUUUUAUUUAUACAUGUAUCAUGCUUAUCAACGAAGAAAGUUUUUAAAUAGGAAUUUUUUAAUCAUAUAAGGUACUGUAUGUCGGAGCUGAUUUACUAUUCUGUAUGUAAAUUGCAAACGAUACGGUACGUGUAUUUAGCAUUUAUAUUAAUGAAAAUCAUCUCAUCGAAUCAAAUCAUUCUUAUCUUUCAAAUUUGAAAAGGACAAUUCUGUACGCGAAAAUUCCAUUAAUACGUAAAAUAUAUUGUUAUGAUGAUUGUCAAUAUGCAUCCGAAUUAUGGAUUCCUAUACUAUUCGGUUUACAAACGGUCAUAGUUAAAUAACGCUGUGUAAAUAUACAUUCCUUAACAGAUAAGACUGGCAUGCAAUAUGAUUGAAUUGACGAAGGCUAGAUAGAGGGUUGAUCAUUGUAAUAGAUCGACGAUAAGAAAAAAAACGACUAAUGAAUUGACCUCGUUAAGGAAAUUUAAGUAAUAAUACUAUCAACUGCUCGCGUCUCAAUCAAUCGUGUGGUGACAAUAGAUCUUAAAAGUAUUCCAUAAGAUAUGCUGAAUUACGCGAGAGAAAAGAAAAAAAAAGAGAAAAAAAGCACAUAAGAGCGAUAACUUAUUAUAUACGAAUCUAUACCUACUAUUACUUACUAUCUACUGCGAUGCCGAGCUAAAUAAAAGCUCAAACUCAGACUAUUAUUGCGAUUAGCUGUUACAGUAUCUGCCACGGGUGACUUCAUAUUGUGAGUAACAUAUAAAUUCAAAAUUGUACAACUAGUAGCAUUCACAACACUCACUAGAGAGAAAAGAAAAAAUCGGAAAAUUUCAAAUUGAUUUUCAAAACUAAAUUGAAAUGUCUGUAAUCGAUUUAAGAAAACAUUUUACACACUCGCGGUGCAAAAGCCACGAUGCGAUAAAGCGAAUCAACGAUAUCGCAUGCUAUGCAAUCAAAUUUUGUGUCUUUCGAUGUGAAAAGUGAUUAUAAAAAAAAUGAUUUAUUCUUAAUGACAUAAAUAAAUAAAUGAAUGAAGUCACAUAUGCAAUCUCCCGUGGGAUGACACGCAUUGAAGAAUCAAAUCGGCAACAGCUAAGGAUUAGCGCGACGGCCUACGCGCGCCUAUCUUGUGGCGUUUUCUAUCUUUUUUUUUCCUAGGAUAAUGUCACGCGGAUAGUGACGCACAGUUUGAAAAGAUUAUAUAUAUAUAUAUAUACACAUAUAUACACAGGGUAUUCGGAAAAUCACCCGCAGUACUUCGGAAAGUGAUUUUCUAAACCCAAAAAGAAGGAAAAAAAGCUAUAUAAAUGUAGGAAAUAAAUUACCGAGUUAUAGCCACUUUUACGUUAAAAAAAAAAUCUUAAUUUAUAA